CCGCGUUGGCAGUGUGGUUAGCUGGUUGUGUAUGGAAAUGACAACAGCCACUAACGACACUGCUCCUGCGU
ncrna:Bombyx mori (domestic silkworm) microRNA bmo-mir-34 precursor